GGGGGCCGGCGAUGCGCCCCGGUCGGAUGUGGAACGGCGAGAGCCGGUCCGCCGAUCGGCUCGGGGCGUGGACCGACGAGGAUUGCAGAGGCGUCCCAAGCCCGGGCCUUUGAUACGCCCGUGGAAAUGUCGUCUCUGGGAUCUUGUAUCGCAGCGCGAGCCGUCACGGCGUGCCUCGGCACUUGCGCGCUCCGGUCGUCGGCCUGCGGGCUCCCCAUUCGACCCGUCUUGAAACACGGACCAAGGAGUCUGACAUGUGUGCGAGUCAACGGGCGAGAAAACCCGUGAGGCGGAAGGAAGCUAAUUGGCGGGAUCCCCCUAGGGGGUGCACCGCCGACCGACCUUGAUCUUCUGAGAAGGGUUCGAGUGUGAGCAUACCUGUCGGGACCCGAAAGAUGGUGAACUAUGCCUGAGCGGGGCGAAGCCAGAGGAAACUCUGGUGGAGGCCCGAAGCGAUACUGACGUGCAAAUCGUUCGUCUGACUUGGGUAUAGGGGCGAAAGAC
rnacentral:rRNA from 1 species